rnacentral:lncRNA from 1 species
CAGGUAUUACAUCUCAAACUGUCCACCAAAGGUUGUCCAUUAUACAUCAUCUAUUAUAAGUUGUUCCACCUAAACCUCGUAAAUCAAAAUAUUGUCCAACAAUGCACAACAUGGUACACCAAACAUAGUUCUAGACAGAAUGUAAUUUGGACCACAUCCAUAUGGCCAUAUCUUUUACAUCUAAUUUAUGUCCAUUGAAGUAAGUACAUAUAAAGGCAAACAAAUAAGGAUUGCAUACAUGUAUAUGUGGACAUGUGCAUGUGGACAUGGACAUGUCACUAACCAAAGCGAAACAGAAAAACAAAUCUACGAAAAAACAAUUUAGAAGAAAAAUAUGUAUAGAUUAGUCUCAUCGAUAGCUUAAAUCCACCAUUUUGGUACACUAUGGACGUGGCCACAACGACAGAGAGAUCUGAGAAAAAGAGAGAGAGAAAUCCAAGAAAAAAAUGUGGAGAAGAAGAAGAAGAGAGAUCUGAGAAACAGAGAGAGAGAAAUCCAAGAGUAAGAAAACAAGAUGGAGAAGAGGGAUCUGAGAGAUCUGAGAGGAAUAGAACAAGGUGGAAAAGAGGAAGAAGAGGGAUCUGAGAGAGAAUAAGGAAAAGAAAUGAUGAUAAAUAUUCAUGUCAAAUAAGAGAUUAUGAGGCAGAUCUGAGACAUGGAGGAAAAAAAGAGAGUAUGUGUCGUUCUUUUCUCUCUUUUUUCUGUUUGUUUGUUUUUUAAAAAAAAAUUAACAAGACAAUCUAUUAAGAAAAAAUUUGUUUACAUCAGUUUGGUUUUUCAACAAAAAUAUGUCAUAAGGUUCUUGUUGUCAUAUUAUCUUCAUAAGUCAAAGAAAAGUGUUAUCUUAAACACUAGUGCCAAAAAGUGUAAAUAUAAACUCAAAAGUGUCAAAACGUGUAAACACCUCUAUUUAUAAGUAUAACUACUAUGCAUAGUUAAAUUUGUCUGUGUAUUAUAAUGGAAAAUUUCCAUAAAAAAAUCUUCAAAUAUUUAACCUUGAACUAUUUGCGAUCUUACUUUAAACCUCGAACUUAAUUGUUUUUCCAAUAUAAAUCUUCAAGUCUUAUAAAUUGUGCCUGAGUGAGAGUUAGCCAACAGUCCACUAUAACUGUGCUUAACAAACUAAACUCUUGUUAACAAUAAUAAUUCGUCUGUUAAUUUUUUAAAACACAUGUUUCUUAACUCAAAUGGGUCGGGUUUUUGAGGACUGAAAAUUUGAAGAAAGUGAUUGAAGACUCAAAGAAGGUAACUCAACGAUUUUGUUUCUAGGUUUGGUUUGGAGUUUUUCAAUUUGUUUCAUCCUCGUUUUAUGACUUUCUGGUUUUAUUGGUGAUUUAAGGAUUUUAUGAAUAUAGGUUCAUGAUGUUGUCAUUUGUGUUUAUAAUAUUAUUUGAGAAGGCAACGAGUGGCCUACAAAUAUAAUCAUACCUGCGAUGAAAUUGAUUCGAUGAAAGUAAAGAAUAAGUUAAAAACUUUUUUCUUUAUAGAAGAAGUGAGGCAGUUUUUUUUGUAGAAUAGUUAGAAAAACACAUACAUUUAUAAUAACAUCAAAUAUAUAAUAUAUAUUUUCUCCUGUCUUGGUAUGUGUAUUACUAAAAAAAAAGUGUCAUACCCUUGGUUUUGUUUGGGUUUUAUAUGCCAAGCGUUUCCUCUUUUUUUCUAACAAAAAGACAAAAGAGAAGUUCAUUAUUGUGAUUCAUCCUCAAUAAUUUAUAUGAAACAAAAUUAAGAGGUCCAUCUGCUCCUCUUAAAAUAUGUGUUCUUUUCACUUUCACAUUCAAACCCUCAAGGCUCUGAAUGAAGAAAGUGGAUCAGAGAGUGCGGAUCAAAUGGUUCAAACAGACGGAUCAAAUACAAAUCAGGUGGACCUGGCGGAACAAGUACAGAUCAAGCGGUCCAAAAUAUAUAGUUGAAUGAGAAAGGCGGUAUAUAACAUAUUUUAAUUAAAUAUAAUAAAUACAUGGUUAUAAAUAUGUAUAUCGUACGUAAAAUUAUACAGUUCCAUUGUAACUAAUAUUAAAUAAUGUAAAAAUUAAGCUUUAAGAUCAUUUAUAUUAUUAAAAUCUGAGAAAAUUCAGAAACUGAAUAAUCUGAACCAAACUAAACUAAAUAACAUAUUUAAAUUAGAAUAUUUUUGGUAACUAAAAUCACUAUAAUUAAAAUAAAUUUAAACAAUAAGUUGAAUUCGUGUAGUCUGAAUUUGAAAUAAAUAUAUUUUAUAUAUAUAUGUAUAUUGUUUUCAGAUUUAAAAAAAAAAACAGAUUACCACUUGUAACACUCCUCAGCAUGAGUGGAACUAUUAUUACAAGUGUAACAUAUAUUUUCUUUCCUCGUGAGAGCUAUCACAGUCAACUGAGAAAAUGUUGGUCAUACUUGCACUAUUUAGCUCUGCCUAUUCAGAGCUCACUUUUCUUUGUUUAUUUUUGAUUGGCUUAUUACCAGGUACAUAACAGUCUUCAGCCAUUUUCAUUCAUUGAUUGAUUAAUAUAGGGUACAAAAUUUUCCAAUAGAAAUGCUUGCAUAUAAGAUAUAUCCAUGAAACGCAAGUAGUCUAUCCUUAUUUAUUAAUUUAUAAUAUAAAUAUAAGAAUUGUUUCUGAGUAUAAAAAAUUUAUGAAUGGAGAUAUAUUUGUGUUCUCUCCAUCUUAUGUACAAACCUUUUUUUAAUGUCAUUCCAUUCUUAAAGCUGUGAAUGAGUUUACUGAUGAAAGUAUUUUGGAAUGCUAAAGAGGGAGAAUCGCAUAUAUUUCUCAUAUAUGAUAUGCAAGUGAGUUUUGAAUUUCACAACUUAAAAAAUAAUAAUUAAAUCAUUGAACUACAAGUAGUAUAGAUUUAUGAGUAAAAAAGCAGAUUGGCUCUUUUCUGUGACACUAUCAAAUUGAAGCAGUCAAAACUGGAUCUUGUUUCAAUUAUUCCAUAAAAAUGAAUUUUUUUAAAAAAGUUAUAUAUACAACAAUUUAUACAUGUGUUGGUAAGUGACUAAGUGUUAGAAAAAUAUAAUUAUACUAUUAAUGAUUAAAUUUAAUAUAAAAUUUUGAAUUAAAAUAUAUUAUGGAAAAAUAUCAAUACUUGAUCUCAGCUUUGAAUUUAUUUUAUGUAUAAUAUAUAUAAAUAUUUUCAUAACUAUAUUUCUUUAAUAUAUAUAAAUUAAUAUUUAAUUCAAUCUAUAUUCUAUAUCAUUUUCUUAUUCAAAUAUAUAUUUUGGAUCGCAUGAUCCGUUUGAUCUGCACUUGUUCCAUUAAAUCCACUUGAUCCACACUUGGACUAUUCGAUCCGCUUGAACCGCUUAAUCCACACCACAUGAUCCACUUUAUCUAUUUGGAGCCAUGGAUGGUAUUUUUAUUAUUUUAAUUAUAAACAUAAUUAAAAAAGCGCAGAGUUCAAUUUUAUUAACUCAUAGAGCUAAUUUCUAACAUCUUUUUUUGAAUAUUUGAUAAUUAUGGAAAACUUCGUUAUAUUCAUAUAUAUUUGUCAUAAUAAUUAUAAAUUUAAAUAAUAUUUUUAUUUGAAUACAAAAUCAAGGAAGAUAUCAUUUGAGUUCUAAGAAUAUGUAUUUGAAUCAUUUCAAAUUUCUAAUUUAAAAAAUCUUAAAUAUUUUAAAAAAUUUGUAUAUUAAUUUAAAAUAUGUAAAACAUUUCAGGACUAUUAGAAUUACCUGAAAGUUUUGAAAUAGUAAAAAUUCGUGUAAAUAUUUUGGGUAGUUGAAUUAUAGAAAUAAAUUAUUAUAAAUAUUUUAUAUAUAUAUAUAGUUUUUUAUUUCAAAAAUAUAUCCCAAACUAUUUAAAUGAUUAUAAAUAAGUAUCCAAAUAAUAUAAAAAUAGUUGAUUUGAAUACAAAUAUUACAUGCAGUAAAAAACCACAUAAAAAAGUUCAAAACUGUUUUAAAAUAGACAAAAUUGGCCAAAUUGGUAGUUUUAAGUUUUUAAUUUGCUAAAAAUGUGUAUUUUGAAAAAGUGUAUGUGUUUGGGUAGUUUUUGUGUGUCAAUAACCAUCUUAUCCUCUCAAGUUUAGUUUAUUUCCGUUGUUAUGCCAUUAUGAUAAUCAAUUAAAUAAAACAAAGGGAGAAAGAGAAAACUAAGGGAAAGAGAGAAGUCUUAUAAAAGGAUGAUUAUCCAUCUAAUUUACUUUUACAUGAAGUAAGUUUGAGUUGGUAUCACCAACCUCUCCUACCAACCCCCUUAAGUAGAUAAUAUCUUCUCACUAGUAUAAAUAAGUAUGUAAGCUUAUGAUAAAGAAAUGAGAUGGAGAAUGAAGUGAAUAAUAGAAAUCGGUUUCUCCUCCUUGCUCUCGUCUCUCCCCCCUCUCCACUUACUCUCAAACUCUCUCUCUCUAUAUAUAUAUAAAAUACAUAGAUGGAGAUGUAUAUAUACAAUAAUUCACAACAUAUGGAGAUGUAUAUAUACAAUAAUUUACAACACGUUAUCAGCACGAUCGACUCUUAAUCCAUCAUAUAUUUGGAGGUUAUGUCUUCCUCGAACCGAUCGUUAUGAUAGGCUAUGCCUUCAUGAUCAAUAUGAUCAUAUGGUAGACUAUGUCUCAUCGGAUCAUAAUUAUGGAGUAACAGGUUAAGCUUCCUCCUUGUUUAUAUAUAUGGAAUGGUAGGUUAUACCUCCUCUUUAUUUAAUUUAUGCAAUACAUUUAAAUUUAUUUAUGGAGUAGUAGGUUAUGCCUCCUCCUUGUUUAAUUUUUGUUUAUAUAUUUAAAUUUAUUUAUGGAGUUGUAGGUUGUGCCUCCUCCUUGUUUAAUUUAUGUUUAUAUAUUUAAAUUUAUAUAUGGAGUUGAACUAGAAGCUCCAGAAGAGCUAGAAGCUCCGGAAGAGCUAGAUACUCCAAAAGAGAAAAAUGUUCCACAAGAGCACACGAUGGUACAUGCAUAUAUAUAUGAUAAUAAUAAAAAGAUGGCAAGGGUAUAUACCAUAGUAAACCUGAGGUUUACUAAUUAAAUAAACCGAUUAAGCCAUCUCGGUAGUUCCAAUGAUAUAAGAUCAUUGAGAAUACAUGUUGAAAAACCAGAAGCUUUUUCAACUAUUGCAUGUCAUAAAGAAAGAAAGAAAAAAUGAAGCCAUCUUGAAAAGCAUCCAUGGAUGGAUCACCAUUUCUUUUGGUUUAAAACUCAUCGCAUAUAUAGUUGGUCAUAGAGUGGGAUUCAAUUCAAAAUGGAUAGACCUUGAAAGUGUCAUAAUCUAGAGGGGGAGAAUUCAAGAAUCCCACAUCGAGUGUAAGCUGAACAUCUAGAAGAUUAUGUUCACAAAGAUAAAACAAAUCCAAGGGAUUGUAAAACCAAUUACGGUGGUCUCCAUGUGGUGACAUAAAAUAUGCAGUAUGGCAUAUAGAAAACAGCUGAUGGAUCCUCAUAUGAACCUAAAGUUCAUAUUGAAUGAAAAAACAAAAUCUCACAUCCCAGCUGAGCUCCACUUAAAAUAGAUGUCCUUGAAGGACGGUCUUUUGAGUCUAUGACACGUAGAAACGUGAUAAACUACUUUGGUUCCAAAUCCUCAAAAGAAAAUGAGCAAAGGAGGAUUGAUCUCCUGAAGAGAUUGUUGACAUGGUUUGAAAUAAAAUCACGUACCUGAAUGAAAUCGAUGAUAAGAGAUCUCUAUUCACCAUGUCAUUAUAAAAAAGUGGAACCAAAGAUUAACCUCUAUAGGAAUUAAUCCCUAAAGGAUUAUACUGGAAUUCUGUUCCCGGGAACACUACUCAAUUGAAAUAACGAAUGAUGAUCAUCAAAAUUCCUGAAGAGUUUUCUCGAGUAGUAUAAUAAAGGGGAUUAUUCCAGAGGUGAUAUCUUGAACCGGUAACUGGAGAUAUGUUUACGGCACUUUUUGCCGAUUGCCACUUUGAUGAAAAUGAAUUCCCUACAUUGAGGGAGAGGAUCUAGAGAAUCAACAAAAGAUAGCACAAAAUUUUAUAUAAACUUUGGCUUAUCUCAAUCCUCCUACCAAGAAACGUGAGGUGGAUUUCAUAAAAUUAUACAUUUGCAAAGUUUGCAAACCAGUUCCUUGAUGUGUUCAAAGAUAUAAGAUGGGUGACGAAAUCAUAUAUCCCCGCUGCUAAUGCUCCAUCAAAAGAAAUGUUCCAGAACAAAUUAUUGAUGAGAAUAGAGCAAAUAAACUGCGGGUUCAAUUAAAGUGUGGGAGGCCGAUGGGCUUGUAAGCUAAAAAUCCUCUCUUAAGUGUAAAUGUCCCAAAAGAACCAUAUAUAGCAAAAUGUUCCAGACAUUUGUGAAAAUGUUCCAGAAGAACCGAAUAAAGAUGUUCUGAAGACAUUUGUAAAAAGGUUCCAGAAAAACUGAAUACGAUGUCCUGAAGACAUUUGUGAAAAGGUUCCAAAAGAACCGAAUAAAGAUGUCCUAAAGACAUUUCUAAAAAGGUUCCAGAAGAACCAUAUAGAGAAAAUGUCCUGAAGACAUUUAUGAAAAGGUUCUAGAAGAACCAUACAAAGAUAUAUGUCCGUAAGAUAUAUAUGAAAGGGUUCCAUAAGAACCAUAUAAAGAGAUUCGUCCAGAAGAUGAGCGUGGCUGCACUCUUUUUCCCAUAUCAUGGUUUUUGUCCACAUAGGUUUUUCCAUGUCAAAGUUUUUAACGAGGCAGCAAGGAACACGCAAAAUAUAAAUCUCUAAAGAGGAAUACUUCUGAAAGAAGAAGUAUGAUGAUAUGCGUAGAUGCACUAUUUUUUCCUUACCAUGGUUUUUGUCCCACUGAUUUUCCAUGCUGAGGUUUUUAACGAUCAAAGAAUACGCAAAGGAUAGACAUCCAAGAGUUCAAACGAAAGUAUUAUAAUUUCAAUGACGUAGAAGUCCAGCCUUUUCUAUGAAAGAGAGAGACUCCAUUAUCUAAGCGUUCGAUAGAAAAGAAGAAUAUAUAUCUUUUCCAGGGGGAGCGUUACUGCAUAUUUUGUCAUAGUUUUUAUCCCUAAAGGGUUUUUCUAUUGUAAGGGUUUUUAAUGUGGCAGUACGCGACAUAUAUCGGUAGUGAUGGAUAAUCAAGAGGGGUGUUAUAAAAUAAUGAUUAUCCAUCUUACUUACUUUUACAUGAAGUAAGUUUGAGUUGGUGUUACCAACCUCUCCUACCAACCCCCAUAAGUAGAUAAUAUCUACUUACUAGUAUAAAUAGGUAUGUAAGCUUGUGAUUAAAAAAUAAGAUGGAGAAUGAAGUGAAUAAUAGAAAUCAGUUUCUCCUCCUUGCUCUCGUAUCUCUCCCCCUCUUCACGUACUCUCAAACUCUCUCUUUAUAUAUAUAAAAUAUAUAGAUGGAGAUGUAUAUAUAUAAUAAUUCACAACAUAUGGAGAUAUAUAUAUAUAUAAUAAUUUACAACAAGAAGAGAGAUAUUGUGAGGGAAGAUAAGUAAAACAGAUUUUUAUUAAAAAAAUACUAUUUUCUCUUUUAUCUUUUUUUAUUUCUUUUUCCUCCUAAAAUUCAUUCAUUCUUAGAUAUCAUUUUAAAUAAUAAAAUAUAUAAUAAUAUAUAUCUUAAAAAUAUAUAGAUUUUUUCUACACAUUUUAAACUCUGAAUUUUUUAAAAUGGACAACAUUUAAAAUGUUGUCAUUUAUUUAAGUUAUGUAGCCCUUCUAGCAAAACAGCUAUGGCGCCUGAUACAAUAUUCCUCAUCACUCUUGGCACGGGUCUUAAGAGGUAGAUAUUUUAACCGGUCCGACCCUCUGGAAGACCGGAACGUUUACUCACCAUCCUAUGGGUGGAGGAGUAUAAUGGCCGCAAAACCGUUUUUGAGGAUGAGACUGAGGAAGACAAUUGGAUCGGGCCUAAAUACGAGAGUUUGGAGCGAACCGUGGAUUCCUGACCUUAGAGCUCGGCCGCCUAGACUGGCCCCGCAUAUCGGAUUCCAAGAGCCGGGAACCCUGGUAUACUCUUUCAUCCGCCGAGACACCAAACAGUGGGAUAUUCACCUGCUUAGAGAAUUUUUCCAUCCUGAGGAUAUUCCCCUUAUCCUCGGGAUGCGACCUAGCCAGACCUGUACCUUGGAUGGAUACGCCUGGAAUCAUUCCAAAUCGGGAUUGUACUCGGUCAAGUCGGGAUAUGACCUAAUUAGAAGAACGAAGAUUGAACGAGAAGCUGGAGCGCUUAGGGAACCAAGCAUCACGGCCCUACAACGACAUGUUUGGAGAGUUCGUUCACCUGGGAAGAUGAAACACUUUAUGUGGCAAUCCUUAUCUGGGUGCGUGGCGACAUGCCAAAACCUCACAUACCGCCAUUUGGGUUCCGACAAACGCUGCCCCCGCUGUGGGGAUCCCGAGGAAACCAUAAACCACCUCCUGUUCUUAUGUCCCCCGGCAUUACAAGUCUGGGCGUUAUCGGACUUUCCGUCCCCUCCGGGUGUCUUCCCGAGUACCUCUAUUUACCAAAAUAUGAGCUUUCUCUUUUGGAAAACAAAAGAGCUAGGCAUGACGGAUCCCUCAAAGGAUAUUUAUCCUUGGAUCUUAUGGUUUAUUUGGAAAGCAAGGAAUGAGAAGAUCUUCAAAGGGAAAGAAAUUUCCCUGGUGGAUACAUGGAUACAAGCCAAAGUGGAAGCAGAAAGUUGGAGAGUUGCGAACCAACCUGAGGUCAGCGACGACGCUCAAGUUGAGGAAGUAGCCCUUCCACCGGAAUCCAUUGCGAUACCGGAGGUACCACAAACCCCUAUAUGCCGGAUUGACGCCUCUUGGAUCAAUCGCGGACAGGUUAGCGGCCUCGGAUGGAGCUUUGUGGAUGGCAGAGGAAAUGAACUUUUUGGACUACAGGGAUGCCGUAGAAGCCUCUCGGCCCUCCACGCCAAGAUGGAUUGCCUCCUGUGGGCUAUGUCCUGCUUGAGAGAGAGACAGAUACUCUCGGUUCACUUUAAAACUGACUGUUCGGAUCUGGUGCGUAUGACUGAGUCUCCAGCUGAUUGGCCGUCCUUUUAAGGCAGAGCUAGAUACUUUCCGCCUCCUCCAAGAGAGCUUCUCAGAGUGCACUUUAUCUCAUAUUCCGAGGGAUCUUAAUGUCCGGGCGGAUAGUCUUGCGAAAGGAGCUCGAACAAGAGGCGUUAUCUUUUCCCAUAUCGACCAUAACGAGCUCACCGAUGGUGGUCCACGGAUCACUUUUACGUUGGGCCAAAUGUGAUUGUAUUUGAUGGGCGGGGGAAAAAAAAAAUUAAGUUAUGUAUAGUUCAGUCAUGUAUACUUCAGUUUUAUAUUAAUUUAAACACAUAUUAUGAAGUAUAGACACAUGGUAUUUAACUGAAGGUUUUCACUUGACUUUCAGGUAUACAACUGUCAGGUAUUCACCUGAAAAAAUUCACUCAUGGUCUUCAAUCGAAGGUAUUCACCUGACUGGUGUACACCAAAUGGUAUACUUGAUAGUUAUACACCAAAUGGUGAAUACCUGAUAAGUGUACACCAAAUACUGGAUAUUUUUGAGUGAAUACCUGAUAGUUGUAUACUGAAUGGUGAAUACUUGAUAGUGGUACAACAAAUGAUGAAUACCUUAGAGUGAAUACCUUCGGGUGUUCACCAAAUGGUGAAUACCUUUAUUUGUACACUAAAUGAAUGAACAUCAAAUCGUGAAUACUUUGGGAUGAAUACUUUCACGUGAAUACCUUCAAGUGAAUACCUGAUAGUUGUACACCAAAUGGUGAAUAUUUUUGAGUGAAUACCUUCGAAUGUACACCAAAUGGUGAAUAACUUUAUAUUUGUGUAUAAUGCAAAAAAAUCAAGUAUUGUCCGCUUUAAAAAAUUCAAAUUUCAAUGUGUUAAGAAAUAUUUAUAAAUAAUUAAAUAUUUCAUUAUUAUAAAUAAUGUACAACAAUUUAUUCAAAAAAAUAAUAUAAAAAAGAAAGAGAAAAUAAUAGUAUUUAAAUAUACUGUUUUUCCCUUCUCUCACACUCUCUCUCACGCACUCUCUCUCUCACUCUCUCUCACUUUUUCUCUCUCUCUCUUGCUUUUGUCUAAUAAGGGCUGUAUUGCCAUUAAAAAAUUAUCACUGUUCAAAAACUACCAGAUUUAUACGUGAAUCCAAAAAUACACCCUUUUGACCAAUUAAAAACUUAAAACUACUUUAUUUGCCAAGAAACUCUUUAAAAUAUGUGUUUUUAACCUAAAUUUGCAUGCAGAUCUAAUUUAUUUUUAUAUAAUAUUUUUUAAGGUUCAAAAAAAUGUUAAUGGAGAGCUAGGUGUUUGAUAAGGGUCUAGUGUCUAUAAUGACUAAUCGAAGCUUAAACCUCGGCUAGACAUUAAUAUAUUAUUUAAUUAUAUUUAUUUAUAAGUAAAUAUAUUUAUAAUUUUAUAAUAACACAUAACCCUAUAAAAUAGAAAAAUAAUAAACUUCUUCACUUAUUCAAAUCCCAAAAACUUAAGAUAAUGUGUAUAAAAUUAUAAACAAAUCUAAAUUCUUAAAAACCAAAGUGGUAUUCAAGUAAAAAUAAUAAUAACUAAAAACACUAAGAUUAAAAACUUAAUAAAAAAAUCUACUAAACCUCUUCUUCAUCAAGAAUUUCCAUAUCCACCACUUUCUUGUAUCAAAAUUAAAUCCAGUAUCAAUAGGAAUAUCAUGUCCCUCAUCAGAAUCAAGAUCUUCUCUAAGAUCAUCACUUGGGAGCUUGAUAAUUAGGUUCAUCACUACUCUCUUCUCCUGUUUGACUUGGCUCCACAACUUGGCUCCACAAGCCAAUCUUAUGUAUUCCUUUCAUUGCCAUCAUCUAAUAUCAUAUCAAUAUUUUUUUCUCUGAUAUUUUUUUGUUUUGUGAACAAUUGGGCAUUGAAUUGAACAUAAACUAGAUUAUUAUGUUGAUUGACAUCUAGUCAAUUUUUUUAGGUAUAAAUCUGCAAACACAAUAUAACAUUAAAUGGAUGUUAAAAAACCCAAAACAGAAAAAUAACUUCAACGAAGUAAGCAUUAACCCCUUCAAAUAUACUCCAAUGUCUUUCACAACUGGAUGAGCUCGAGGUCAAAGAAAAAAUCUUUAUUGCAAAUCUGUGCAGAACAGGGACAUGCAAAUCAUAUAUUGACCACCGAUUUUCUAAAUAUGUAAGUCAAAUUAAUAAAACAUGAGUCAUCUUUAUUGCUAUUCAGAUUUUAAAAAAUACCUGGAUAAAACUUCUCAUCAUUUUUUUGGCAUCCUCUCUAUGCUAAACCUCUCCCAAAAGCACUCAUUAAACUCAUCGUUGAUAACUUUGUAUUGUUCUUCAUAAUCACCAUUGUAAAAAUGUCUCAACACAAUUGAAAAAUCCAUCAAUUAGCAUCUGAUCGUGCUCAAUGGUGGAAUCAUUGUAGAAGUAGAAUGGAUUUAAUAAGUAAGAGCUCAUGUGCAACGGAGAAAUCAAUCUACUUUUUAUUUUCUCAUCAGUGAUCUCGAAUAUAGGCUGGUAUUUUCUCUCCAAAUCACUAGAGGCCAACUUAAUCUUACUUUUUGCUUCCAAGAGCUCUCCAAAACUAAAAUCCAUUGAAGGCUUAUUUUCUUCAUUAGUAAUUCUAAUAAGUUCACCAAAAUUUUAAAAACCUUCAACACAAAUUUCAAAUAAUUCCAAAAUGCAUAACUCAUAAUUGUUGAGAUACUAUUUCUCCCAUUUGCACUCUUUGAAUGUUUACAGUUAUUCCAUUCUUCAGUGGUGAACAUUGUUUUUAGUUGUGUUUUUUUCUCUCACAAGCUUUGUAAUGUCAAGAAAUUGGUAGCAAAUCUUGCUAUUCCUGGCCGCACGAUAUCCCUCUUUAUGAUCUCUUGUCAUUGCUAAGGUUUUAUGAUGAGCGUAGAUAAAAAUGGUAAGAUCAUUAGCCUGAUCAAUUACUCUAGUAAACUUAGGCAGCUUUGAAAUACCUUCAAGCAUCAGAUCAACUGUAUGAGCAAUACAACCUGUCCAAAAAAUAUUCAGCUUGUUCUCUUUAAGAUUCUUUUAUGCUGCCACAUUAUUGAGAGAAAUAUCAGUUACCACUUGAAUGACAUUCUCAGCUCAAACAUUUGCAAUGCAUUGAUCAACAUAGUCCAUAGUGAGAAUCUAUGGAAACAUCUUUCACAGAUAUAAGAACAUGUUCCUCCUCUAGAAUUAAUACACAUUCAUUAUGUUCUUGUUUUUCCUAUUAGUCCAUACAAUUGUCAUUAUAGAACAGCUUGAGUGUUCUCAUUCUGACUCUUGCCUCUUUAAUUGUGUCUUAAUUCUUUCUUGUUCCUCUUUCAAAAAUGAUUCCAUUAGUUGGUAUUGAGUUGGAAGAACCCAACCAGGUUCAAAUUUGCCCAGAACCUCAUAAAAUAGUUUAAAACAAACAUUAACAAUGGCAUUGAAAGGUAUAUCUGACUGAUACAUUCACCUAUGAUAACACCGUAUUUUGAUCACUUUUGUGGAUCAUUAAAAAUAUUUUUUCAAUGCUUUUUAUUUCUUUUAAGUGUUUUAUUAUGGUUUUCUAGUAUUUGUAGUUUCAAAACUCUUUUCAGGAAACUUAGGAAAAAGUUUAGCAAAAUAGAAAGAAGACUAGAUUUUUAACUCAGAGUCAAACCGUCAGAAGUUAAACAUCAAAUGAAAACCUUCUCACUAUCUGAUCCAGCUCAAAUCUGGAGACCUUAAAUAUGGAACAGUCAGUUUUCCAGCACACUUGACACCAAGACAAUCCAACGGUUCAAUCAAAAGUUACUCGAAGAGAAAGAUGUCCCGUUAACCAGCCAGCAACCAAUCCUGACCGCGGCCAGCACCCAUUUUACACUGGUCAGGUCUCCUCUGAACGUGGAGAAUGGUCUGUUCGGCCUAGAAGCUCAUCUCCAACCCCAAAUUGAUUCCUUCAUUUGGAGAAACCCUAAGUGACGUCCAGAAAUGCCUUGAGCACUAUAAAUACAUGUUUUAGGAACCCUAAGUCGUAUGCUCUUUCAUGUUUCAGAAUACCUUUUAAGUUUUUUAGUAUUUUUGAGUUGUUUUAGGUUUAGGGAGAUAGAGAUCUAUCUCUUGAACCCCUUUUGUUUCUUUUUCAAUAUCGAUUUCUAUUCAGUUUUUCAAUACAAUGUUUUUGCUUUGUUUAAUCAUGUCUGAGUAGUUCUAUUGUUGGGUUUAAGGGAUUUUCGAUGGGGGCCAUAUAUGUUUGAUAAGGAUUCCAUUAGCUAUUAAAGCCAAAUCCUAAAACUUUUUCUUCUAAACUUAUUUUUAAUGCAUGGGAGUAGCUGAUGCGGUGUGGGUGUGUGUCAAGUUUUACCCUAAAUGAAAUCAAUAGCCGCAAGUGCACAGCUGAUCGAUUGUAGUACUUAGGGAUCGAAUCCACAGGGAAGGAGGAUCUUUCCUGCAAAAGCCUUUGAAAGAAAUGUAAAGUAAGGAAGUCUAGAACCAGGCGAUUUUUGUAGGGGUUUUGGUGGUGUCUUUAAAAUGUAAAAAGUAAUCUUAAUGGGAAAAUACGGGAAAUAAAAUGACUUAAUAACUAAACUUAAAGAAAUCGACUAAAAACGAGAAAACGGCUAGACCUAAUUGCUUGUAUGAAAAUCGGCUGAAUGAGUAAAAUACUAGACUAAAAACUUGAAUGAAAAAUCAGUGUAAAUCUAUAGAAAAGAGGCACUGAGUUUCCAGGGAAAUUUUCUCCGGGGAUGAAUAAUUCAAAACAUUGCUAAAGAGUAAAUUAAAAAGAUCCUAGCUAAAACUUUUAGAACUCGAGUCACGAACGUAUGAUCAUGAAUACGCCACUGUCAUGAUCAUAACCAAUUAUCUCUCUCAACCCUAACAAGUAGGUUUCCACUCUGGCCCUGGAAGAGUGAAGAUGCAGUAUCCUUAAGACUCCUCAACAUUCACAGCUCACCCAUAGGUAGAUUUCCACUCCUAUGGUCGAUCUGCUCUUCCCGAACUAGAUCUGGCGCCGAGUGAAAACUUUUGCAACACCCAAGACCUAGAUCAGAUUGUAGUUCAUGACGCUAAUCACAUGCAUUAAAAAUAAAUUUAGAAGAAAAAGUUCUAGGAUUCGGCUUCAAUAGCUAAUAGAAUCCUCAUUGAACAUAUAUAGCCUCCAUCGAAAAUCCCUUAAACCUAACAAUAAAACUACUCAGACAUGAUGAAUAAAAGCAAAACAUUAAAAAGGCUGAGUAGAAAUCGAUAUGAUAGAAGAACGAAGAGGGUUCAAGAGACAGAUAUCUAUCUCUCUAAACCUAAAAACUAAGAAAUAUGAAAGACAAAAACUUAAAAGCUGCAAAAAGAAUAAAUUUUAUGUGUCUCUCUCGUCUAGGGCUCCUAAAAACAUGUAUUUAUAGUGUCCAAGUCUUCACUUAGGGUUUUUUAAAUGAGGAAAUCAUUCUGGGCUUGAAAAUGGGCUUCGGGGUCGGACAAACCAUUCUCCGCGGUUGGGAAGGUCGGGACCGUGGUGAAAUGGCUAUUGGCCACGGGUAGGAUUGCUUGCCGGCUGGUUUACGAGACAUCUUGCUCUUUGCGUAACUUUUGAUUGAACCGUUGGAUUGCCAUUUUGUAAAGUGUGCUGGAAAUCUGGUAGUUCCAUCUUUAAGUUCUCCAAAAUUAAGCUGGAUUAAACGGUGAAAAAGUCUUCAUUUGGGGGUGAACUUCUGACGGUUUGACUCUGAGCUGAGAUCUGGUCUUCUAUCCAUUUUGUUAAGCUUUUACCUAAAUUUCCUGAAAAGAGUCUUGGAACUACAAAUACUAGAAAAACAUAAUAAAAACGCUUGAAAGCAAUAAAAACAUAGAAAAAGUAUUUCAAAACGAUCCAUAAAAGUGGUCAAAAUAUAGUGUUAUCAGUAGUGUCAUGAACUAUAUUCUUAUUUUCGUAGUGUUGCGAAAUGUAUAUCCGCUUAAUAAUUCACAUGCCUGUUGAUACAUAUACCUUUAUUUGGCAUAUGGAGGAACAAAAUGUUUAGGGCAAUAUUGGAUAUCACUCUCCAUGAUUCUUGAGGCCCACUGUAAAAAUAAGAGAAUCAUGGUCUGUGCGGCCCCUGCUGCACAAUACUUUAUACUUUUCUUCGAUCAGAUCGUAUUCUAAAUAAAAACUUUUAAAUGAGUAUCCGGGGUUGGGUAAGAUAAUAUGUUGUCUCAUGUAGGAUUCCAAACCACAAUCUCCCUACAAAAAAUCUCCACAACACAUCAAUCUGUGGACCGACUCAGAAUUAUACGAUUGGUAAGAAUCAUCAUACGAUUUGUCUCAUAACUUUUUUGUGAUGAGAGUAACAUGUGUCGAGGUGUUUAUGUUGAAGGCAGUGAUGUAAAUAUACGCUUAUUUUUUGAUUCGACCCACAGCAGAAAACAAAGCCGUAUUAAAGACUAUUCGUGAACGACCUGAUGAAAUCUGGACGAGUGGUGAUGGUCGACCAUAGCUUCAAGAUGCCAUGGAACCUCACAGUAGGCUCUCAAGAGUAUAUCAGGAAUAAGAUUAAGAGGAAUCAGCUCUAUAAACUUCUCAUUACUCUCCUCCUUUUUAGAUUGUAUUAUUUUCUCCCCAUCUUCCGCUUCUUCUUCUGUUCUCUCCAUCAACGAUCAACAUUUUAAAAGUUUGAAUAUACCUAAUUUGUUGUCCACAUCUCUGUUUGAUCAUUUUUUGUAAGCUCUAAUUUGGGGGAGAACUGUAUUAUACAAUUAAUGGUACAGCAUAAAUUGUG